rnacentral:rRNA from 1 species
UGGGGAAUAUUGCGCAAUGGGCGAAAGCCUGACGCAGCAACGCCGCGUGAGUGAUGAAGGCCUUCGGGUCGUAAAGCUCUGUCGGAGGGAACGAAUGCUCUUGAGGUUAACAGCCUCAGGAAAUGACGGUACCCUCAAAGGAAGCACCGGCUAACUCUGUGCCAGCAGCCGCGGUAAUACAGAGGGUGCAAGCGUUAAUCGGACUUACUGGGCGUAAAGGGUGCGUAGGCGGAAGGAUAAGUUAGUUGUGAAAGGCCUGGGCUUAACCUAGGAACUGCAAUUAAGACUGUCCAUCUAGAGUUGAGUAGAGGGGAGCGGAAUUUCCGGUGUAGCGGUGAAAUGCGUAGAUAUCGGAAGGAACAUCAGUUGCGAAGGCGGCUCUCUGGACUCAAACUGACGCUGAGGCACGAAAGCGUGGGUAGCGAACAGGAUUAGAUACCCGAGUAGUCCCUGAGCGGGCUGGCAAGGCGCAU